AGCAAACAGGAUUAGAUACCUGGUAGUCCACGCUGUAAACGAUGUCGAUUUGGAGGUUGUUCCCUUGAGGAGUGGCUUCCGGAGCUAACGCGUUAAAUCGACCACUGGGGAGUACGGCCGCAAGGUUAAAACUCAAAUGAAUUGACGGGGGCCCGCACAAGCGGUGGAGCAUGUGGUUUAAUUCGAUGCAACGCGAAGAACCUUACCUACUCUUGACAUCCAGAGAAUUUAGCAGAGAUGCUUUAGUGCCUUCGGGAACUCUGAGACAGGUGCUGCAUGGCUGUCGUCAGCUCGUGUUGUGAAAUGUUGGGUUAAGUCCCGCAACGAGCGCAACCCUUAUCCUUUGUUGCCAGCACAUUAUGGUGGGAACUCAAAGGAGACUGCCGGUGAUAAACCGGAGGAAGGUGGGGAUGACGUCAAGUCAUCAUGGCCCUUACGAGUAGGGCUACACACGUGCUACAAUGGCGUAUACAAAGAGAAGCGACCUCGCGAGAGCAAGCGGAACUCAUAAAGUACGUCGUAGUCCGGAUUGGAGUCUGCAACUCGACUCCAUGAAGUCGGAAUCGCUAGUAAUCGUAGAUCAGAAUGCUACGGUGAAUACGUUCCCGGGCCUUGUACACACCGCCCGUCACACCAUGGGAGUGGGUUGCAAAAGAAGUAGGUAGCUUAACCUUCGGGAGGGCGCUUACCACUUUGUGAUUCAUGACUGGGGUGAAGUCGUAACAAGGUAACCA
rnacentral:rRNA from 1 species